rnacentral:tRNA from 1 species
GCUCAGGUGGUGGAAUUGGUAGACACGCACGUUUGAGGGGCGUGUGCCGGAAGGCAUAUGGGUUCGAGUCCCAUCUUGAGCACCA